UACGUAGGGUGCAAGCGUUGUCCGGAAUUAUUGGGCGUAAAGAGCUCGUAGGCGGUUUGCCGCGUCGGCUGUGAAAUCCCGAGGCUCAACCUCGGGCCUGCAGCCGAUACGGGCAAACUAGAGUGUGGUAGGGGAGACUGGAAUUCCUGGUGUAGCGGUGAAAUGCGCAGAUAUCAGGAGGAACACCGGCGGCGAAGGCGGGUCUCUGGGCCAUAACUGACGCUGAGGAGCGAAAGCGUGGGGAGCGAACAGG
rnacentral:rRNA from 1 species